GCUGCAAACUGCCUGGCACAGUUCUGCCAAGAGAAGCAGGGCUAUUGGGCUGAAAAUGCAUGCCAGGGGAACUGGUCAGCCGAUAGACGUCUAAGCAUCCUACAUUAAGGCUCCUAUCAGGUUAUCAAAAUGAUUCAAAAUGUAUUUUUUUGUUUCUCCCUUGGAUUGCAGUGAGUGUGAUAAUAAUGUUAUAAUAGGCAUAGAGGAGAGUGACAUAUUCCAGGUAGUCAAGUAUAGUUUAUUUGCUUCUCUCUCUAACCCUUGCUAUUUGUGUCUACCUUUAGUUGUUUGAUACUAAAAGUUAGCGAUGGGGGAGUAGGAAAUAUGAUUAUUGAGCAGGAGAAUUUGAGAAGUGGAUAUGAUGAUAAAAAUUUUACCCCUUUAGAUCAUAACAUGGUUUACUACCCACUCUGACUGAGUUCUUAGGGGAUGAUUCUGUAUAACAGUUCAGUGGAAGAACUUGAGGGCAUCCUUGGGGAUAUGCACCGGGUGCUGUAGCUAAUCUUGUAGCCCUAGAAGCGUGUGUACAAGCUGAUAAUGAAGGAUGCGAUAUCUCUCACGAAGGUAAUGAAAUUAUCCAUGAGGAGACUGUAUCCACAAAUGAAGCUGUUAGUGUUUUUUUCUUUUUGUCCAUUUCAGGUACAAUUUUUUGAUUUCAUGAGCAUUUUGUCUUUCUCUGAAAUAGAUAGUUAGAUGCAAAUUUAAAUUCCUAAAUAACUCUGUUGUUUAUUUAUGUAUUUCAGGAUCAGUCGGGGGGUUAUCAUGUAACAGCACUAAGGCACCCCUUUUUUAUCUAUGACGAAAACCAACUGGAGAGUUGUUGUUUCUUAUGUACUAAGUUUCAAAAUUCCUUGCGAAAUUGAAGCAUUUGAAGCAUGCUUCAAUGUUGUAUGUCAACCAAGAGAUUUGGUGUGGGUUUAAUAAUCUCAGUUCCUAUUCUGAAACUUUUAUUUGUGGGUUUUGUAGGAUGAUGGACCAAGGCUCCCAGGCUUCCAGGAUUCCAUGUCAUCACCUAAAGCAAGUCCGUCAUCCCCAAAAUCUUCUCCCCCAAAAAACUAUGGGUAGUGAUGGGCUACUCUCAUGAUUCCAACACCAAUUUCCAAGGAGAUAGAGAUGGAACAUUCUCCAUUGGGAAAACUUUAAAUGUGAACAUCUUUCUGAGGUUCGUGUGAAGACCUGCAGAGUGUUUUAGGUAU